ensembl:lncRNA
UUGUAAGAUGAAAUCCGUUUAUUUAUAGAGAACAAGUCUUACAUAUUGUAUUGGUAGUAGCACUUAAAACAUCAGAUCCCAGAUCCCAGAUAGUACAGAUGUUCAACGAUACAUUUGUUGAAAAGUACAUAAUAGAAAUACUGGGCCCUAUUCACAUCUCCGGUUUUCGCUGACAGAAGAGGUCCUCGCAGGGUAACUUUACUGCUACAACAACAAUGGCCGAGUCUAAAACUGUUGAUCAGAACUGUUAUACAAAAAUCAGAAACAGUUUAGAAAUAAACAACCUCAGUAUAAAUGAUUUACAUAGCAAACAAAGUGAAUCUGUCGGUCUCUAAUGCCACCUGUGGGAGUUUAGUCUUAAGAUCGUGCAGUUCUUUAUUGAACUUCAUUAACUGGUAAACUGAACAAACAGUUAUCAGUCUCACUACUAGUGUUAACUCUUAAUUAGCUACAAAUGCAGCUAGCAAAACGCUAGGUCUUAGUGUUCAUCUAUCCACAACUUUACCCUGAUGACUGGGAAUUAAUUCUUCCAUAAAGAAUUCAUAUCAUUUAUUCAGUGUGUAAACCUUUGUUGCUGAGUUCUCAGCGUUCUCGCCGAGUUAGGGACACAUCUAUGAAGUUUUAUCUCAGCAGCAUAGACAAAUAUGAAGUGAAAAAUCUUUUCAUUGUGAGUGAAGGUGAUAACACCACUGUUUCAGUAGUAGACAAGUAGUUUACUGGAACUCAUUUUAUCCUGCAUCUAAGAACUUCUGUUUUUGGUGUGAAAAGGGCCCAUUUAGUUAUAUAAUAGCAUAUAAUUUCCUUGUAGUGAACAAUUGCCUUGUAUAGUAGCAAACAAUUUCCUUGUAUAGCAGUGUACAAUUGACUUGUAUAGUAGUGAACAAUUUCCUUGUAUAGCAGUGUACAAUUUCCUUGUAUAGCAGUGUACAAUUGACUUGUAUAGCAGUGUACAAUUGACUUGUAUAGUAGUGUACAAUUUCCUUGUAUAGCAGUGUACAAUUGACUUGUAUAGUAGUGAACAAUUUCCUUGUAUAGCAGUGUACAAUUGACUUGUAUAGCAGUGUACAAUUGACUUGUAUAGCAAUGUACAAUUUCCUUGUAUAGCAGUGUACAGUUGACUUGUAUAAUAGUGAACAAUUGACUUGUAUGGUAGUGAAGAGUUCAGGUUUAAUUUAUUACCUGAACCCUUUACUAUCAUACAAGGCAAUUGUUCACUACUCAACUGUUCAAUUUCUACCUAUCCCCAUGUGCACUCACUACAUCACUUAUCUUGGUUUCAAAGAUCUCUGCCAAGCUGUCAGACCUGCAUAAACUCAAUUUUAUCCCAUUAUCAAACACCAUAAAUAAUGAUCUCCAACCCUGGAUAAACCUUCUCCUCUCUCUCAUUGGCAGAAUAGCAUCAUUUUCAAUGAUCCCUGCUCAACCUCCCCCCUUCCUGGUUCAAAUCACUCAAUUCCAUUAUUUUAAAAUUUAAUUGGGAAAACAAACCUCCCAGAAUCAAAUGAACUACUUUACAAAGACCCAAACAUUAUGGAUGACUUGAUGCCCCAAACUUUCAAACUUUCAACUAACUCGCUAACCAACUCCAAUAUAUAAUCAAGUGGAUAAAACCCUGUCAGAUUAAUGAGAUACGGCUAGAUGCAGAACAGGGACUAUGCAAAGCAAUCAGAAUCUUGGAUAUACCAUUCAUCAGCACAGCAAUCAAAUGCUAUUCCUGCUUCAAAAGCCCAACGAUUGCAGGGAC